GGAAGUAAAAGUCGUGACAAGGUCUCCGUUGGUGAACCAGCGGAGGGAUCAUUACCGAGUUAUCAACUCCCAAACCCCUGUGAACAUACCCAACGUUGCUUCGGCGGGACCGCCCCGGCGCCCUCGGCGUCCCGGAACCAGGCGCCCGCCGGAGGACCCAAACUCUUGUUUAAACCAUAGUGGCAUAUUCUGAGUCUCACAAGAAAAAUGAAUCAAAACUUUCAACAACGGAUCUCUUGGCUCUG
rnacentral:misc_RNA from 1 species